rnacentral:rRNA from 1 species
AACGAACGCUGGCGGCAUGCCUAACACAUGCAAGUCGAACGAGACCUUCGGGUAUAGUGGCGCACGGGUGCGUAACGCGUGGGAACCUGCCCUUAGGUUCGGAAUAACUCCCCGACAGGGGUGCUAAUACCGGAUAAUGUCUUCGGACCAAAGAUUUAUCGCCUUUGGAUGGGCCCGCGUUGGAUUAGCUAGUUGGUAGGGUAAAAGCCUACCAAGGCGACGAUCCAUAGCUGGUCUGAGAGGAUGAUCAGCCACACUGGGACUGAGACACGGCCCAGACUCCUACGGGAGGCAGCAGUGGGGAAUAUUGGACAAUGGGCGAAAGCCUGAUCCAGCAAUGCCGCGUGAGUGAUGAAGGCCUUAGGGUUGUAAAGCUCUUUUACCCGGGAUGAUAAUGACAGUACCGGGAGAAUAAGCUCCGGCUAACUCCGUG